rnacentral:rRNA from 1 species
UACGAGAGGCCCAAACGUUAUUCGGAAUUACUGGGCUUAAAGAGUUCGUAGGCGGCGCAGAAAGUAGGGUGUGAAAGCCCUCGGCUCAACCGAGGAAUUGCGCUCUAAACUACUGUGCUUGAGGAAGCUAGAGGUGAGCGGAACUGAUGGUGGAGCGGUGAAAUGCGUUGAUAUCAUCCGGAACACCGGAGGCGAAGGCGGCUCACUGGGGCUUUUCUGACGCUGAGGAACGAAAGCCAGGGGAGCGAACGGG